GAUGAACGCUGGCGGCGUGCCUAACACAUGCAAGUCGAGCGAUUCACUUCGGUGAAGAGCGGCGGACGGGUGAGUAACGCGUGGGUAACCUGCCUCAUACACAUGGAUAACAUACCGAAAGGUAUGCUAAUACAAGAUGAUAUAAGAGAUUCGCAUGGAUUUCUUAUCAAAGCUCCGGCGGUAUGAGAUGGACCCGCGUCUGAUUAGCUAGUUGGUAAGGUAACGGCUUACCAAGGCGACGAUCAGUAGCCGACCUGAGAGGGUGAUCGGCCACAUUGGAACUGAGACACGGUCCAAACUCCUACGGGAGGCAGCAGUGGGGAAUAUUGCACAAUGGGCGAAAGCCUGAUGCAGCAACGCCGCGUGAGCGAUGAAGGCCUUCGGGUCGUAAAGCUCUGUCCUCAAGGAAGAUAAUGACGGUACUUGAGGAGGAAGCCCCGGCUAACUACGUGCCAGCAGCCGCGGUAAUACGUAGGGGGCUAGCGUUAUCCGGAUUUACUGGGCGUAAAGGGUGCGUAGGUGGUUUCUUAAGUCAGGAGUGAAAGGCUACGGCUCAACCGUAGUAAGCUCUUGAAACUGGGAAACUUGAGUGCAGGAGAGGAAAGUGGAAUUCCUAGUGUAGCGGUGAAAUGCGUAGAUAUUAGGA
rnacentral:rRNA from 1 species